CCUACGGGGGGCAGCAGUGAGGAAUAUUGGUCAAUGGACGGGAGUCUGAACCAGCCAAGUAGCGUGAAGGAUGACUGCCCUAUGGGUUGUAAACUUCUUUUAUAUGGGAAUAAAAUGUUCCACGUGUGGGCUUUUGUAUGUACCAUAUGAAUAAGGAUCGGCUAACUCCGUGCCAGCAGCCGCGGUAAUACGGAGGAUCCGAGCGUUAUCCGGAUUUAUUGGGUUUAAAGGGAGCGUAGGUGGAUUGUUAAGUCAGUUGUGAAAGUUUGCGGCUCAACCGUAAAAUUGCAGUUGAAACUGGCAGUCUUGAGUACAGGAGAGGUGGGCGGAAUUCGUGGUGUAGCGGUGAAAUGCUUAGAUAUCACGAAGAACUCCGAUUGCGAAGGCAGCUCACUGGACUGCAACUGACACUGAGGCUCGAAAGUGUGGGUAUCAAACAGGAUUAGAUACCCCUGUAGUC
rnacentral:rRNA from 1 species